GGAACAGACUUCGAGUUCAAAGGUGAAAAUGGAGGAAAGCUUAUUGGUUUGCAUGGACGUGGUGGUAAUGCGAUUGAUGCCAUUGGAGCUUACUUCGACACCGGUUCACAAGGAGGUAAGGGCGGCGGCGGCGGUUCACAAACUGAUGUCCCCGGGAAGAAGGGACCUCUUGGUGGUGAAAAAGGAGAAGAGUUCAACGAUGUUGGUUUCGAAGGUGUGAAGAAAAUUACCGUUGGAGCCGAUCAAUACAGUGUAACUUACAUCAAGAUCGAAUACGUGAAAGAUGGAAAAGUCGAAGUCCGUGAGCACGGGACAAGUCGUGGGGAGCUACAAGAGGUAACAAAUGCGAAAUUUUGUCACACUAUUCAACUGGUUCGUUACUAAUAUAGAUUUGUUUCUAAUAAACAGUUUUCAGUGGACUAUCCUAACGAUAGUAUUACGGCCGUUAGUGGAACCUACAAACAUAUUUUCACCUAUGAUACGACUCUCAUCACAUCGCUUUACUUCACAACCUCCAAAGGUUUCACCUCUCCAUUAUUCGGUAUCGACAGUGAAAAGAAGGGAACAGAAUUCGAGUUCAAAGGUGAAAAUGGAGGAAAGCUUCUUGGGUUCCACGGACGUGGCGGUAAUGCUAUUGAUGCAAUAGGAGCUUACUUCGACACCGGUUCACAAGGAGGUAAGGGUGGCGACGGUUCAAAAACUGAUGUCCCAGGGAAGAAGGGACCUCUUGGUGGUGACAAGGGAGAAGAGUUCAACGAUGUUGGUUUCGAAGGUGUGAAGAAAAUUACCGUAGGAGCCGAUCAAUACAGUGUAACUUACAUCAAGAUCGAAUACGUGAAAGAUGGAAAAGUCGAAAUCCGUGAGCACGGGACAAGUCGUGGGGAACUACAAGAGGUAAUAAAUGCGAAUUUUUGUCACACUAUUCAAUUGGUUCGUUACUAAUAUAGAUUUGUUUCUAACCAACAGUUUUCAGUGGACUAUCCUAACGAUAGUAUUACGGCCGUUAGUGGAAC
rnacentral:lncRNA from 1 species